rnacentral:rRNA from 1 species
GGGUUGUGAGGUUAAGCGACUAAGCGUACACGGUGGAUGCCCUGGCAGUCAGAGGCGAUGAAGGACGUGCUAAUCUGCGAUAAGCGCCGGUAAGGUGAUAUGAACCGUUAUAACCGGCGAUUUCCGAAUGGGGAAACCCAGUGUGAUUCGUCACACUAUCAUUAACUGAAUCCAUAGGUUAAUGAGGCGAACCGGGGGAACUGAAACAUCUAAGUACCCCGAGGAAAAGAAAUCAACCGAGAUUCCCCCAGUAGCGGCGAGCGAACGGGGAGGAGCCCAGAGCCUGAAUCAGCAUGUGUGUUAGUGGAAGCGUCUGGAAAGGCGCGCGAUACAGGGUGACAGCCCCGUACACAAAAGCGCAUGUGCUGUGAGCUCGAUGAGUAGGGCGGGACACGUGGUAUCCUGUCUGAAUAUGGGGGGACCAUCCUCCAAGGCUAAAUACUCCUGACUGACCGAUAGUGAACCAGUACCGUGAGGGAAAGGCGAAAAGAACCCCGGCGAGGGGAGUGAAAAAGAACCUGAAACCGUGUACGUACAAGCAGUGGGAGCCCCACCACUAAGCCAGUG